GGCCUAACACAUGCAAGUCGAACGAUGCUUUCGGGCAUAGUGGCGCACGGGUGCGUAACGCGUGGGAAUCUGCCCUUGGGUUCGGAAUAACCGUUAGAAAUGACUGCUAAUACCGAAUGAUGACGUAAGUCCAAAGAUUUAUCGCCCAGGGAUGAGCCCGCGUAGGAUUAGCUAGUUGGUGGGGUAAAGGCCUACCAAGGCGACGAUCCUUAGCUGGUCUGAGAGGAUGGCCAGCCACAUUGGGACUGAGACACGGCCCAAACUCCUACGGGAGGCAGCAGUGGGAAUAUUGGACAAUGGGCGCAAGCCUGAUCCAGCCAUGCCGCGUGAGUGAUGACGGCCUUAGGGUUGUAAAGCUCUUUCGCACGCGACGAUAAUGACGGUAGCGUGAGAAGAAGCCCCGGCUAACUUCGUGCCAGCAGCCGCGGUAAU
rnacentral:rRNA from 1 species